rnacentral:tRNA from 1 species
UCAUAUGUACAAUGUUGAGAUGGACAAACGAGAGCUUCCCAAGCUCUAUACGAGGGUUCGAUUCCCUUCGCCCGCUCCA